CCCUUAGAUGUUCUGGGCUGCACGCGUGCUACAAUGGCGCUUGCAACAAGUCUUGCCAACCCGAUAGGGUGAGCGGAUCUUUGAAGAGGCGUCGUGAUCGGGACAGUUGAUUGCAAUUAUUCGACUCGAACGAGGAAUUCCUUGUAAUCGCGAUUCAUCAUAUCGCGCUGAAUACGUCCCUGCCCUUUGUACACACCGCCCGUCGCUCCUACCGAUUGAGCGAUCCGGUGAAUGUUUUGGACUGGCGUCAGAAGCGGUUCGCUCCUGACACUACGAAAUUUUGUAAACCUUUUCGCUUAGAGGAAGGAAAAGUCGUAACA
rnacentral:rRNA from 1 species